rnacentral:rRNA from 1 species
AGUGGCGGACGGGUGAGUAACGCGUAAGAAUCUAACUUCAGGACGGGGACAACAGUGGGAAACGACUGCUAAUACCCGAUGUGCCGCGAGGUGAAACCUAAUUGGCCUGAAGAAGAGCUUGCGUCUGAUUAGCUAGUUGGUGGGGUAAGAGCCUACCAAGGCGACGAUCAGUAGCUGGUCUGAGAGGAUGAGCAGCCACACUGGGACUGAGACACGGCCCAGACUCCUACGGGAGGCAGCAGUGGGGAAUUUUCCGCAAUGGGCGAAAGCCUGACGGAGCAACGCCGCGUGAGGGAGGAAGGUCUUUGGAUUGUAAACCUCUUUUCUCAAGGAAGAAGUUCUGACGGUACUUGAGGAAUCAGCCUCGGCUAACUCCGUGCCAGCAGCCGCGGUAAUACGGGGGAGGCAAGCGUUAUCCGGAAUUAUUGGGCGUAAAGCGUCCGCAGGUGGUCAGCCAAGUCUGCCGUCAAAUCAGGUUGCCUAACGACCUAAAGGCGGUGGAAACUGGCAGACUAGAGAGCAGUAGGGGUAGCAGGAAUUCCCAGUGUAGCGGUGAAAUGCGUAGAGAUUGGGAAGAACAUCGGUGGCGAAAGCGUGCUACUGGGCUGUAUCUGACACUCAGGGACGAAAGCUAGGGGAGCGAAAGGGAUUAGAUACCCCUGUAGUCCUAGCCGUAAACGAUGGGUACUAGGCGUGGCUU